rnacentral:rRNA from 1 species
CCUACGGGCGGCUGCAGUCGAGAAUCAUUCACAAUGGGGGAAACCCUGAUGGUGCGACGCCGCGUGGGGGAAUGAAGGUCUUCGGAUUGUAAACCCCUGUCAUGUGGGAGCAAAUUAAAAAGAUAGUACCACAAGAGGAAGAGACGGCUAACUCUGUGCCAGCAGCCGCGGUAAUACAGAGGUCUCAAGCGUUGUUCGGAAUCACUGGGCGUAAAGCGUGCGUAGGCUGUUUCGUAAGUCGUGUGUGAAAGGCGCGGGCUCAACCCGCGGACGGCACAUGAUACUGCGAGACUAGAGUAAGGGAGGGGGAACCGGAAUUCUCGGUGUAGCAGUGAAAUGCGUAGAUAUCGAGAGGAACACUCGUGGCGAAGGCGGGUUCCUGGACAGUAACUGACGCUGAGGCACGAAGGCCAGGGGAGCGAAAGGGAUUAGAUACCCCAGUAGUC